GAUGAACGCUGGCGGCGUGCCUAAUACAUGCAAGUCGAACGAAACUUCUUUAUCACCGAGUGCUUGCACUCACCGAUAAAGAGUUGAGUGGCGAAUGGGUGAGUAACACGUGGGCAACCUGCCCAAAAGAGGGGGAUAACACUUGGAAACAGGUGCUAAUACCGCAUAACCAUAGUUACCGCAUGGUAACUAUGUAAAAGGUGGCUAUACUACCGCUUUUGGAUGGGCCCGCGGCGCAUUAGCUAGUUGGUAGGGUAAAGGCUUACCAAGGCAAUGAUGCGUAGCCGAAUUGAGAGGUUGAUCGGCCACAUUGGGACUGAGACACGGCCCAAACUCCUACGGGAGGCAGCAGUAGGGAAUCUUCCACAAUGGGCGAAAGCCUGAUGGAGCAACGCCGCGUGGGUGAAGAAGGUCUUCGGAUCGUAAAACCCUGUUGUUAGAGAAGAAAGUGCGUGAGAGUAACUGUUCACGUUUCGACGGUAUCUAACCAGAAAGCCACGGCUAACUACGUG
rnacentral:rRNA from 1 species